rnacentral:rRNA from 1 species
GCUUACNNUGCAGUCGAACGAUGAUCUCCAGCUUGCUGGGGGGAUUAGUGGCGAACGGGUGAGUAACACGUGAGUAACCUGCCCUUAACUCUGGGAUAAGCCUGGGAAACUGGGUCUAAUACCGGAUAUGACCUUCCAUCGCAUGGUGGUUGGUGGAAAGCUUUUUGUGGUUUUGGAUGGACUCGCGGCCUAUCAGCUUGUUGGUGAGGUAAUGGCUUACCAAGGCGACGACGGGUAGCCGGCCUGAGAGGGUGACCGGCCACACUGGGACUGAGACACGGCCCAGACUCCUACGGGAGGCAGCAGUGGGGAAUAUUGCACAAUGGGCGCAAGCCUGAUGCAGCGACGCCGCGUGAGGGAUGACGGCCUUCGGGUUGUAAACCUCUUUCAGUAGGGAAGAAGCGAAAGUGACGGUACCUGCAGAAGAAGCGCCGGCUAACUACGUGCCAGCAGCCGCGGUAAUACGUAGGGCGCAAGCGUUAUCCGGAAUUAUUGGGCGUAAAGAGCUCGUAGGCGGUUUGUCGCGUCUGCCGUGAAAGUCCGGGGCUCAACUCCGGAUCUGCGGUGGGUACGGGCAGACUAGAGUGAUGUAGGGGAGACUGGAAUUCCUGGUGUAGCGGUGAAAUGCGCAGAUAUCAGGAGGAACACCGAUGGCGAAGGCAGGUCUCUGGGCAUUAACUGACGCUGAGGAGCGAAAGCAUGGGGAGCGAACAGGAUUAGAUACCCUGGUAGUCCAUGCCGUAAACGUUGGGCACUAGGUGUGGGGGACAUUCCACGUUUUCCGCGCCGUAGCUAACGCAUUAAGUGCCCCGCCUGGGGAGUACGGCCGCAAGGCUAAAACUCAAAGGAAUUGACGGGGGCCCGCACAAGCGGCGGAGCAUGCGGAUUAAUUCGAUGCAACGCGAAGAACCUUACCAAGGCUUGACAUGAAUCAGUAAGGCGCAGAGAUGCGUCCCCCUCUUGAGGCUGGUUUACAGGUGGUGCAUGGUUGUCGUCAGCUCGUGUCGUGAGAUGUUGGGUUAAGUCCCGCAACGAGCGCAACCCUCGUUCUAUGUUGCCAGCACGUGAUGGUGGGGACUCAUAGGAGACUGCCGGGUCAACUCGGAGGAAGGGGGGACGACGUCAAUCAUCAUGCCCCUUNGUCUGGGCUUNCGCAUGCUACAUGGCCGGUAAAAGGUUGGANACU